CCUACGGGUGGCAGCAGUGGGGAAUAUUGGACAAUGGGGGGAACCCUGAUCCAGCCAUGCCGCGUGUGUGAAGAAGGCCCUCGGGUUGUAAAGCACUUUCAGUGAGGAAGAACGCCUGGUGGUUAAUACCCAUCAGGAAAGACAUCACUCACAGAAGAAGCACCGGCUAACUCCGUGCCAGCAGCCGCGGUAAUACGGAGGGUGCGAGCGUUAAUCGGAAUUACUGGGCGUAAAGCGCGCGUAGGUGGCUUGAUAAGCCGGUUGUGAAAGCCCCGGGCUCAACCUGGGAACGGCAGCCGGAACUGUCAAGCUAGAGUGCAGGAGAGGAAGGUAGAAUUCCCGGUGUAGCGGUGAAAUGCGUAGAGAUCGGGAGGAAUACCAGUGGCGAAGGCGGCCUUCUGGACUGACACUGACACUGAGGUGCGAAAGCGUGGGUAGCAAACAGGAUUAGAUACCCUGGUAGUC
rnacentral:rRNA from 1 species